ACCUAGCGGCGGACGGGUGAGUAAUGCGUAGGAAGCUGCCCGAUAGAGGGGGAUACCAGUUGGAAACGACUGUUAAUACCGCAUAAUGUCUACGGACCAAAGUGUGGGACCUUCGGGCCACAUGCUAUCGGAUGCGCCUACGUGGGAUUAGCUAGUUGGUGAGGUAAUGGCUCACCAAGGCGACGAUCUCUAGCUGGUUUGAGAGGAUGAUCAGCCACACUGGAACUGAGACACGGUCCAGACUCCUACGGGAGGCAGCAGUGGGGAAUAUUGGACAAUGGGCGCAAGCCUGAUCCAGCCAUGCCGCGUGUGUGAAGAAGGCCUUCGGGUUGUAAAGCACUUUCAGCGAGGAGGAAGGGUUAGUCGUUAAUAGCGGCUAAUUUUGACGUUACUCGCAGAAGAAGCACCGGCUAACUCUGUGCCAGCAGCCGCGGUAAUACAGAGGGUGCAAGCGUUAAUCGGAAUUACUGGGCGUAAAGCGCACGUAGGCGGUUUUUUAAGUCAGAUGUGAAAGCCCCGGGCUCAACCUGGGAAUUGCAUUUGAAACUGGGGAACUAGAGUGUGUGAGAGGGGGGUAGAAUUCCAAGUGUAGCGGUGAAAUGCGUAGAGAUUUGGAGGAAUACCAGUGGCGAAGGCGGCCCCCUGGCACAACACUGACGCUCAGGUGCGAAAGCGUGGGGAGCAAACAGGAUUAGAUACCCUGGUAGUCCACGCCGUAAACGAUGUCUACUAGCUGUUCGUGUCCUUGUGAUGUGAGUAGCGCAGCUAACGCACUAAGUAGACCGCCUGGGGAGUACGGUCGCAAGAUUAAAACUCAAAUGAAUUGACGGGGGCCCGCACAAGCGGUGGAGCAUGUGGUUUAAUUCGACGCAACGCGAAGAACCUUACCUACUCUUGACAUCUACGGAAGACUGCAGAGAUGCGG
rnacentral:rRNA from 1 species